rnacentral:lncRNA from 1 species
GUCAUAAAAUUGGGUUAUAUGUCAGUAGUCCCUAACAAUGAUUUGACAAGAAUCUCAAGUUCUUGAUCUACUUUGAAAGCAUGAAACUUGAAAUAAGAGAAGACAGACAAUUUAUAACUAAGAUUUCUUGGAUUUAAUAUAGUUAUUAUAGCCAACAAGAUAGGAUUUUCUGGGACAUUCUUGAGUAAAAGUAAUUAUUACCCAGUAAUGAUAUUUAUCAGGCCAUAUGUUCUAAUUUUGGCUUGGAAACUGACUAAAUGUAAAGUGUGUGGAGCAGUAGUGGGCAGAGGGAACCAGCUCCGGAGCUGCAAAACCAGCCUGGCAGUCACCGGCAUAACAUCCUUGGAGCUAUCAUUUGUUUUCACUUGCAAUCUACAGCUUGGAGCAUGGUUGGUUCUAGAAACUCUCCAGCCAAAUUUACACCUGAUAUAGAGAUGUGUUCUAUGCAGAAGGACCAGGGAAGAGCAGAUGCAGGAAUGAUUAUACAAGUUCAAGGGAAGAAGUGAAAAUCCAUUAAGCAGCAGAAGAUUAGCCCUGAGCUAACAUCUGCCGCCAAUCCUCCUCUUUUUGCUGAGGAAGACUCGUCCUGAGCUAACAUCUGUGCCCAUCUUCCUCUACUUUAUAUGUGGGAUGCCUGCCACAGCAUGGCGCGACAAGCACUGUGUAUACUGCGCCUGGGAUCUGAACCAGAGAAUCCUAGGCUGCUGAAGUGGAAUGUGCGAACCUAAGCACUACAUCACUGGGCCAGUCCCAAAAUAUUUGUAUAUAUAUUUUGUGAUUUCUUGUUCAGAGUCUAAUUCUAACAGAAGGCUCAGUUGUCUCUAUAAAGGUUUAUCUGUAAAGAUAUUUUCCAAGAAAGAUGUAGCCCUGAUUUUAAUGGGUGGUCUCAGCAGUGGCCUUUUUGUAUCAUACCUGUGGUUCACCACAGCAUGGUUCCCACAAGAUCCAGGAAAUUCAGCCCAUUAGCACAGAAAUGACAUUUGGUUUAGAUUGUAAGCUCUGAUAGCACAAGGGGCGUGUCUAUUUUCUUCAUUGUUAUUUGUACGGUUCUGAGUGAAGUGGCUGUUGCAUAAUAUAUAACUAUUAAGAGAAUGAACAAAUUCAGAUCCCCUGGGCUACCACUCCUCUGAGCUAGGAAGAACUUCAAUGAUGUUCACUACAUAAUAAAGGAAGAAAUCAGGAAACUUUAUUCAAGGUCUGUUUCUGACAUUAAU